rnacentral:rRNA from 1 species
AGGAUAAACGCUGGCGGCGUGCCUAACACAUGCAAGUCGAACGUCCUACGCAAGUAGGGAGUGGCGGACGGGUGAGUAACACGUGGGCAAUCUACCUUUCGGUGAGGAAUACCGGCGAGAAAUCGCCGACAAAUACCGCAUACGCUUCGCAAGAAGCAAAGUCGCAAGACGCCGGAGGAGGAGCCUGCGCCCGAUUAGCUGGUUGGUGAGGUAAGAGCUCACCAAGGCGACGAUCGGUAGC